GAAGCGGGCGGGGCGGAGGCUGAGCCCGCAGUCAUGUGCCCCGCGGCGGGCGCCGCGAUUCGGCCCUGGCCAGCCGCGCGCGUCCCGGGCGGUCCCCCGGCGCCUGCGGCUCCCCGACCGCGGCCCGGCCCGGCUGCGCUCCCGGCUCCUCGGUCACCCCGGAAAAUGGCCUGUGCUCCCCGGCGCAUUCACUCACCCGCUCAGCAGGGGUGAACUGCGGGCCUCCCGAGUGCCAGGCACUGGGGAUUCGGGGUGGAUACCACCUUGGCCCCCGCUCUAGACUAGCUCCCCGGUUAGCAGGGACACUGUUACAGCCAUUACUGCACAAUGUUACAGGUGCUUUUAUGAGGUGCAUGCUGAGAUUUGUGCCCACAAGCGUAUUCUGGGCGCGUGACCUAAGACCCCACAGUUGAACUGAAUCUUGGAGGAUGGUGUUAGACAGGAACACUCUGCAAGAGACUGAUGAGGGAACAUACACAGGAAGCUGGACCUGGGAUGCAGGUGUGAGCUAUGUGGAGAAGCAAGGAAGGACGGUUGUAUGGAAGGAAGCUUCUUAUACUACAGUGCAGCUCUAAGAAAGUUCAGCAAGGCUGUGGGGGUUCCUCAAGCCACACUGGCCUAUCCCAGGAGUCCAGCAUCUCCCAGGAAUAGACCUCUCGUACUUAGUCAUGGGCUGCGAGCAGCCGCGGCAAGAUGGCCUCUGCACCAAGCUGGCGAUAAAUAUCAGAGGAGAGAUUUCCGAUCUCAGUCUCUGGGACAGAUCCACUGGUCGGUUGUGCUCUGCACUGGAAGAUCUGAGAAGUACAUUUUCUUGGUCGCUAUAAUGGUAUUAUUCCUGUCUCACAAGAGGAAACCGUGGCUCUGUAAGGUUCUGAUGAUGUUGGGGGAAUGUCAUUAACAAUGAAAUCUUCUGCCAACCAAGGAGAAGAGAAAGAAAACAGUUUUAUGAAUUGAAUAAUCAUUAAGCCAGAAUGAGAUGUGCAUCACAGGCUAUCAGCUAAAGAUAUGGCAAAGGCAGAAAAAAAAUCUCACCUUUUUAUUUACCCAGGCGGAUAUAACCUAUUCUGUACAUGUCCUCAAGAUGAACAAUAACAACUCCUCAAGUAAGAGGACGUGGCAGCACCGUUCGUCACACAGGACAGCCACAAUCGAGUGGCCAUUUGUGUCAGCAGUUGCCUUCACCCAAAGGGAAAAGAAGACUUCCUGUGUCUUUAGGACAGGUAGUCGUUUUACAGCUUAGAGCCAGGCACCUGCUCCUACCAUCCCACAGAAACUGGGACAGAGGAAUGCUAUCUUCUUGAUGAUUCAUAUCAAAGAGAUGGCGCCCAGGCCCUUAAGAAAGACAUUCCUGGAUUGUAAAGAUGGCAAAAACUUAAUUUCACUUUGAAAAAGACAUACAUACACCUCAAAGGGACAGAGAAGAAUUUGCAAUUACAAAUUGUCUUUAACGCUCUCUAAGAAAAGUAGUGGUGGUGGUGGUGGGGGGUGUCUCUUUCCAUUGCUGCACUGGGGAAAAUUUAUUUAUCUUUUCUAUUUAUUUUUACCCUUCCCCCAGCACCUGUGAAGCGGCACCUACCCUCCCAGAGGUUAAUUUGACUAAACAGCCUUAGAGGCAGGAGUAGAAUCCAAGGGAAGGAACGGCAGGUGAGCUUAGGAGAAAGCAGAUGGCUGCAGACAGGUGAGCCAGGCAGCCCGGGGGUGGAGCGAGCCCAUAGGGCCUUGCUUGCCCCAGGUGUUUGCACUAGCCCUCCAUCUCAGCUGUCUUCUAUCAGUAACUGCCUCAUAAGAAGCAGACACAGCUUCUGACAAAGAUAACUCAUUGCUAAUUCAAGUAAGAUUUUAAAGCAAUAUGACAACGAUCAUGACCAUAAAAAUGCUGGGUGAAAGUAAAGCCCUUGCUAAGAAAGGACACGUGUCCUAUAAGUGGGCCAUCAUUUCAGUAAUAAAGGAGAGACCAUGACCGAAACCUAGAUAAUUAUCUUUGAUGACAUAACUACUCCAUUUAAUGACCUUACCAAUAUUUGUCCCUUCUUCCAGACAUUUCUCAAAUUUAUUUUAAUGAAGGUUAAUUAAAAUUGCCCCAAAGAACACUGUAAAAAUGAUAUGUCUUGUUUGCCAUCUAUGGUAAUAUUAGAAGCAAAAAGAAAGUUUUUCUCUGGAUCUUGAGAAAAAAGAAGGAAAGUCUUGGAUACCAGCAGUAUCAGACAUGGUGAACUUCUGAGAAUGAGAUGGAACUCCUUCCUGUAUGUCCUGAAGUUUGCCCUCCUGGAAAAUAAAAGCAAGUGUCAUGCAGAAGAUAGAGAACUUUUUAUUGCGUUAAAUGUGUGCCUUACUCCUGACACUGUAGAAAAACGGAGAGACCAAGCACAGAGAGAUCCAACCAUGAGAUUAUUUCUGCAGUGCUUGGAAGAGUUCCCAGAACUUGGUAGGUUCUUAAUAUUUGUUGAAAGCUAAAUGUCAAACCUUUGACUAAAGUGGGAGGAAUUUAGGGGUGCUAGUUAAGGGAGGAGGAAGCUUUUUUGUCAUGAUCAUCUCGUACUUGAUGUCAGUGUUCGAGGGCACUUUCUAUACAGCUGUCCUCAUCCAAUGUGCUUUCAAUAAGCAAUCCUGUACAGAGAGCUCUCCGGUAGAGUACAGCUAGAUUUGAGCUCUAAUUCUGUGUGAACUCUAUGAGAGCAAGCCACGGGUUUUACUUGUUUCUAUACCCUAGAAAGUAGUACAGUGGUACAUAGGAGACGCUCAUAAAUGCUGAUGGGGGAUUUUGCUAAACCUUUCUAUUGAGAACAUUCACAUUUAAUGACAUUUUGAGAGAGGGAGAGAAGGAAGCAGAGAGUGGCAAGAGGGAGGUUGGAGAGAGAUUGAUUUGGGGAAAGAAAUUCUAUUUUCAAAACAUCAAAUCUGUCAAAUCAGCUUUAAUAGUCUUAGUUUUCAGGGCGCCAGGGUGGCUCAGUCAGUUAAGCAUCUGCCUUCGACUAAGGUCAUGAUCUUGGGGUCCUGGGAUCGAGCCCUGCAUCAAGCUCGCCGCUCAGCAGCGAGUCUGCUUCUCUAUCUGCCUCUGUGAUCUCUCUUGUUUUGCUCUCUCAAAUAAAUAAAUAAAAUCUUUGGAAAAAAAAUAGUCUUAGUUU